AGAGUUUGAUCAUGGCUCAGGAUGAACGCUGGCGGCAUGCUUAACGCAUGCAAGUCGAACGAAGGUUACCCUCGGGUUUCCUUAGUGGCGGACGGGUGAGGAACACGUAAGAACCUACCCUUAGGAGGGGGACAACAGCUGGAAACGGCUGCUAAUACCCCAUAUCGCUGAGGAGUGAAAGGAGGAAACUCCGCCUAAGGAUGGGCUUGCGUCUGAUUAGCUUGUUGGUGGGGUAAAAGCUUACCAAGGCGACGAUCAGUAGCUGGUCUGAGAGGAUGAUCAGCCACACUGGGACUGAGACACGGCCCAGACUCCUACGGGAGGCAGCAGUGAGGAAUUUUCCGCAAUGGGCGCAAGCCUGACGGAGCAAUGCCGCGUGGAGGAAGAAAGCCUGUGGGUCGUAAACUCCUUUUCUCAGAGAAGAAGUUCUGACGGUAUCUGAGGAAUCAGCAUCGGCUAACUCCGUGCCAGCAGCCGCGGUA
rnacentral:rRNA from 1 species